CAGAGCGUAGCUAAACAGCAUAGCAUCUCCCUUACACCGAGAAGGCACCCGUGCAAACCGGGUCGCACUGA
rnacentral:tRNA from 1 species